GAGACGCGCCGGGUGCCAGCCCCUCGCCGCACCUUAAAUUGUUGACAAAGUGCUCCCACUUUGUGGCUGGAGCCGUACGACCUUGGCGCGGGUCCCCGAGUGGCGGGCUGGAAAAGCUGGAGGCCAGAGCCGUUCGCGGACUCGCCCGAGCCCAGCCAGCCAGUGGGGAGAGGCAGGACGCGGACUCCGCGUGCUUUGAUUGCGCCCGGCAGUCCUCGGCGUGGGCUCCCGGCCUCGCAGCGGCAGCUGCAGCUGCAGCGGCACGCGAGAGCUGUCAAAUGCACGUUCUCGGACCCCACCCGGACCCGCGGAAUUCGAAUCUCUGGGUGGGUCCGCGCAACUGUGGAGUGGCCCUCCAGGUGAUGGUGUGUAUUGCUUGCAAAGUUUGAGAACCACUCAGUUAUGGAGCACUCAGAGGCUGCAGCCGGAGUCCAGCCCUUUGGGUUAAGAAAACCGUGAGGACAUACUGAAUGCCGGUGACAAAUUAACAGAGGUCCUUGAAGAGGCUAACACUCUGUUUAAUGAAGUGUCCCGAGCAAGAGAAGCAGUCCUGGAUGCCCACUUUCUUGUUUUGGCUUCAGAUUUGGGCAAAGAGAAAGCAAAGCAGCUGCGCUCAGACCUGAGCUCCUUUGACAUGUUAAGAUAUGUUGAAACUCUACUCACACAUAUGGGUGUAAAUCCGCUAGAAGCUGAAGAACUCAUCCGUGAUGAAGAUAGUCCUGAUUUUGAAUUCAUAGUCUAUGACUCCUGGAAGAUAACAGGCAGAACAGCAGAAAACACCUUUAAUAAAACCCAUACAUUCCACUUUCUGUAAGAUUA
rnacentral:lncRNA from 1 species